UCCGGUUUGGCACCGGCAGUCCCCCGAGAGUCCUCAGCAGCUUGCGCUCUGUUAGCAACACGGGGCGGGGGUUGCGCUCGUUGCGGGACUUAACCCAACAUCUCACGACACGAGCUGACGACAGCCAUGCAGCACCUGUGCACGGGCUCCGAAGAGGGCCGCCUGUUUCCAGGCAGUUUCCCGUGCAUGUCAAGCCUAGGUAAGGUUCUGCGCGUUGCGUCGAAUUAAACCACAUGCUCCACCGCUUGUGCGGGCCCCCGUCAAUUCCUUUGAGUUUCAGCCUUGCGGCCGUACUCCCCAGGCGGGGCACUUCAUGCGUUAGCGCCGGUACCCCAAGGGUCGCUCCCCGGAGCACCUAGUGCCCAUCGUUUACGGCGUGGACUAC
rnacentral:misc_RNA from 1 species